rnacentral:lncRNA from 1 species
ACCGGAGGUUUGAUGUUGUAGAUCCCCGGGACCGUGCCGAUAAUGAUGAUGACUACUUUGGAGCUCCCAUGCAUUCUGGUAGGUUACUUGAGCUCAGUGGGGAAGGGAAUGGUGACGAAAGAAGAAGGUUUGGUGAGAGACGAGGACCUGUGCGCUCUUUCAGGCCUCCUUACAAUAACAACGUUGGUGAGAAUUUUCACCUUAAUGCUGAAGACGGACCUAGGCACUAUAGAUUCUGUUCAGAUGAUUCAGAUUUUCAUGAAAGAGGAGGCAACAACAUAAGGGAAAGGGACUUUGACAGGCGAAUCAAGGGCAGACCAGGAAAUGUGCCACCCAGAAGAACAAGAAAUAUGGAUGAGCAGGAAGAG